CUUAAAACAAUGACAAAAGGUAAGAUAAUAAACAUUUUUAUUUUCACAAUCAAAUAAGUUACAAGAAAAAGAAAUGUGAAAAAAAAAAUUGGGGGUAUAAAAGUGAUUUUUUGUUUUUUUGUUUUUUUGGGACCAGUAUUUUGCCUAUGUUUGUAAAUUUUUGAUGCAAAAACUUUAUAAAAAAAACGUAUGACUUUUCAAAAUUGGUAGGCAUAAUGAACAUUAAAUUAUUUAACUGAAGACUGUUCUUUCCUUAUUGGCUGAUCAACAUAUUUUAUAAUAACAAUAGCCGAUAUGUGGAUUUUUAAUUUAGACUUUUAAACAGACUUUUGUACAGCUAAAAUAAUUAAUGCAAAAAUUCUUCUGUAACAUGACAAGUAUGAAAUCAAUAGUAUAUUAUUCUUCCACUAACGUUUGUCAAGCAGAAAGUGAUCAAAUAAUGCGUCAUAUGCAUGUUCUAUUAUUCGAUAUUUAAUAAUUGUUAAUGUGUUUACAAUAUCCCUCACGGUCACAUGGGCAUUUAUAACAUUUAAGCCUCUUUUACUAAAUUUGAUACUAUGGCCUAAUCUUUCUCAAUAUAUUUAUAUUAAUAGCACGGUUACUUUUGGCACUUAUAAUAAAUGUUUUUAAACCAAAACAUGGAGGACAUAUUUGUGAGCUAUGACAGAAAAAUGUUAUUGCCCAUUUUCCUUACUAUAAGAUCAAAUAAACGAGAUAAACAGUGCUUCAGAUCUUUUUAAACACGAUGGAAUGAUAUAACAGAUGGUUUCAUUUAAACUUGGGCUCCGGUUCUUUUGUUCUCUUUUAUGAAACGUUGCGACAGUGUCCAGCGAUGCGCAUUAAAUGGUCGCCUGUACCAUGUGACCUCAUCCAAUGUUUGUAAACACGCGUCAAGCACAUGUGAUCCUGAAGUGUUUAGGAACGUGUAACGCGCUGCAGCCAAUCAGACGCCGGGGGAGUGUCUGGGGGGGCACGGCUUCAGCAUUUCGCCCUGGAAAAAUCGAUAGGGAUCCUGAAAUGAUGCGAGGAGACUAUGUCUCAAGAAAGGAAACUGAGUUGGGUCGAACUGAAACAAGUGAAGAGUGCAGGCAUCCAUGGCAUGCAGAUAAUUUAGAAAAAGAUUCCACUAGAAGUCAGUUGCUUGAACGUAUCCAUGUGGCGAAGUCAGACCGCAUUGUACGCUUGUUGAAUGAACUGAAACAGGUAGGCAUGUUUUUAUUAGCCUAUCUUUUUUUUUGCCAAUUUUUUAUACAUAAACGCAAAUUUACUAAUAAAAAUAACUUUAAGUGUUAUAUUUGUGUAUUUUAAAAUCCCCCUAGCUUAUUAUUAUGUUAUAUAAGAGUUAAUAUAUACAGAGAUAAGGAGAGGGGGAUGGUACGCUAUUAGUAAUUCAUAGAUCACAUCAAAACAAAGUGUUAUAUUUAGUAUCCUGGCCAGACUGUUGCCCAAGAAAGAUGCAUUGGCCUCUUUCCUAUUCUUUGCUAUAAACAAAGCAAUUCUAGACCCAACAAUGCAAUUAGUGAUAACGAUAAACAUCUUUAAUAAACAUACAGUACAUAGUCCUAAGCCAACAAGUCCUCGAAGACAUAUUUUCAGUCACCCAACAAAUAUGAAAUUAUAUUGGAAGUAAUGAGUGUUGACCCAGAGUUCAAAUAAUAUGUAAUAAAAUAAGUCUCUGUUUGAUGUACUAAUUAAUAUACUGCAUGUCUCAACUGUUGACUGGAUAUUUACUACUGUAUUUUCUCUUUUCCACCCAGUUUAAAUGUCAGAUUCUAAGCCUCAAUAAAGAUGCCUUUCCCUUUAAGAGCUGGAUCAGCAUUACACAAGCGGACAGGUGCGCAGAUGCAGCAAACCAAGAAUAAACUAAUGUACUUGAGUGAAAAAGAAACUUGUAAACAAAUGCUCUCCCUCCCUCCCUCUAGGUCACUCCCUAUACUUUUCUAUUGUACUUAUUCUAUUAUAGGUCUACAGUAGUUCAAACAUAAUACCUCGAUUCUCAGGGAGAUGCAGUAUUGGCAAGGUGCACAAAAACUCACAGCUUACUUUCAAGAAAAAAAGGUUUAACAUUAUAUUAAACAUGUAUGGUUCAGAACAAACUAUUUUCUUCAAAAUUAUAUUUUCAAAAUGAUGUCUAAAAGCUCCAUUAUGUGUACUAUAGCAUCUUUAGCAUUAGGCUAUUUUGUUUUGCAGUGUCAUCUCCUCCUACGCUGCUCCUGGAAGCUGACUUCAAAUGGUGCCAUAGAGUACUUUAUGGCAUCUAGCACCAUUUGAAAUCAGUGUUCUUGGGUCGGUCCUGACAUCACAUGGGAGACCUAAAUGCUGUGGACUACUGAAAUUCUUCUGCAAUGUUUGUGAUCUAUGUCUGAUUUGCACAUGCUUAAUUAAUUAAAUAAAAAUAAUUUAUUCUUA